UCUGCCUCUCUCUCACUCCUCUCCCUCUCGUUUCAAUUAAAUGUUGGGCGGCCCAUCUAUCUUCUCCAGUCUCCUCCCUCCGGCCCUGCCCUGCCCCGCGCGCCUCCCUUCCUUCCAAGCCCCUCUUACUGCGGCCACGGCGGCGGGCACACGCAGGAUCCCCGGCAGUGGGCGGGUGGGAGCCGCGUCGGGCCGGCGCUCAGACAGUGGGCGUGCGGGAUCCGUGGUGGCGGCCGGCUUUCAUACGGUGGCCGGCGAGAGCACAGCAUGCGCCUCCUCUUCCCCUGUAGUCUCCACCGCCUCUAGCCCUGCCAUAUCCCCGCGCGCCUCCCUUCCUCCUUCCUCCCUCUUCGAGCGGCCACGGCAGCAGGCGCGCGGAAUCCGCGGUGGUGGGUGCGCGGGAGCCGCGGCGGCCAGCGAGCAGCGCCUUCCCUCGCCGCCCACUCUCCUCCCUUCUUCCUCCACACGGGAGCAGUGGCGGGUAGGCGGGAGCAACAGCGGUAGGUUGGGACCAGCUGCGGCCGGCACGCAGCGGGCGGUCGGGGUUACGGCCACGCAGUCGCGGCGGUGCGAUGCGCAGGCAGAGGCCGGCACGCUAACAGGGCAAGCAAACUGCAAAAGAAUAAUGCGGAAUCCAAAAGUCACCAAUAGGAAGCUGUACGCUUCCCUUCAUACCUGAAUUUCUUGUCAACCAAAUAAAAAGAUCAACACAUGCAGCUAAAGGAUAAUUCAGACUUUCAGCUGAGAGCAGAACAUAAGUUUAAAUAAAACAUCAGCUGGCACAGGUGAGGUUUCAUUAAUCUCUCUCUAUGGAGUAACUUUGUUAUCUAUCACAGAAAUGACAUUAUUAUAGCAAGACCCGAUAAAUCGAACUUAUAAUUAUUUCUCGAAUGCAAGAAUCGAUAACUGACUAAUCACCAUUAGUCGGAUGACUUGAUAACAUUGAUCAAGCUAAACUCAGCUGGGUGAAGUUUGUCCCAUCAGAUUCAAUUUCAGUUUAUGGUUAUCACUACAUGAGCAAAAUAAACAAAAAUCUAGGCAUUCUUGCUGUUCUUUACUAAAACAUUCCAACUUCCCAUCAGAUUCAAUUUCAGUUUAUGGUUAUCACUACAUGAGCAAAAUAAACAAAAAUCUAGGCAUUCUUGCUGUUCUUUACUAAAACAUUCCAACUUCCUAUAUUAUGCAUAAAGCAAAGAAUUGAAAUUUGUGUAGGAUGGAUUGAUAAGACGCAACUCAAUGCAAAAUUUGAUCUAAUAUACUCCAAAAAAAUAUUACACAGCCUGAUUCGACCAAAUUACAUCUCUGCGUAAAAAUUGGUAUGAAUGAAUUAUUGUACAAUAUUUUUGUCAUAAAUUCAAAGCAAAGGUAGAUAAAAAGCAUGAAGAAAGCUAGUUUAUCAACUAUACUAACUUGUACAAAAGCAUCUCAGUUCUUAUGAAAAAAUUGAGGUCCAAUCAUUCUCUUGUUGAAAUGUCACAAGAAUGUUGCUCAAGAACAUCAAGCUUUGCACAUCCCAUCAGACAACUGCCUAUUUUUAUCUUAGUCAGGCAAACAAAGAACUGAUAAAAAGGUUAGAAAGAAAAAACCUUGAACUUCUGUCUAAAUCCUUGCGUUGGCCACCCUUCCCCAAUGCCCAAAUGCAGCAUCGAGACUCCAUACUGAACCUAGGGCCUGAGAAGUGAGGACCUAUGAGAAAGGGAAUUGAAGGACCAGGCAAGAGGGUAGUAAAUGUGACGAAUGGAAUCUGCCUUUUACCUUAGGUUGCCUUGCCCUCCUGCGCAUGCCUUGUUCUUCAUGGGAUAGAGCCCCUCACGUGCUAGCAACCCACCAUGACCACCAGCACCACGAACUCGUCAACCUCUGGCCGCACUACCCUCAACCGCCCUCAUGGGAUCUGCUGCGUGCCUGCGUUUGUCACCAAGGGAAGGGGCCGCUCGCCAAAGAGAUGAGAGGGAGGAGCGGAGGAGCUACGGCAGCGGCUGUGCUGGAGUGGGAGCUGGGAGGUGCGCGCAGCAGCGAGAUGCGAUGGCAGCGGCGAGGAGAGGAGAGGAGAGGAGAGAAGAACGAGGGAGGAGUUGCGUUUGCGUUAGGUCUGAAGUUGGGACUGCGGGUUAAUUUGAGUCAAAUAGGAGGGCUUUUCUGCAAAGUUGCCAGAAGACACCGGCAAUGCGGGAGGCGCCGAGCACUCUCGUGCCAGGAGGAGGCACCUAGCUCUCUUUAAUAAACCCGAUACCUAUCCAUGCAUACAACUCAUUCAUAAUCUAACGCUCCUAGAAGCCGUGUCACCUCAGCACCGCCCUUUUACCUCCCAGAAUUUCUAACCGUGUUAUAUGAUGUCUCAAUGGCUCGACACAAUGCAAGUUAUAUUUAUUUUAGGUUAUUGGAUUAAUAUAAAAAAAUUUGAUAAAAUGAACUAGGAUGACAUUGUACGCAUUUAAUUUAGGAGGAGAAAUGAACUAGAAUGAUAUACCAUCAUAAUUAUUGAGUUGACCUAUAAAAUACCAUUAGAUAUCCACUUGCGUCUAAACAUCUUUAGACGUACAUGGCAGACGGUGCUCUGUUCAGGCUUCACUUCGCUCUUGUCGUCCGGCCUCCAGGCAAUUUCUGAUUUCUGUACCACUUGCUUUUAUACAAUGCGAUGAUGAUUGUUACAAAUAGUUUUCUUAAUGAAAUGAUAAUUUUCUACGUUACCAAUAAGGGUGCAGCGUGUAUAUAUGAGUUAGCAGUAUUGAACAUUUGUGGAACAUAUAUAUUGCCCGUUUAUGUCGAGCCCCGCAUCCCCAAAACAGUAACAUUCCUUGCUCCGCGCCUGAUCUGACCCCUCAUUGACAGAGAUAAAGGCACCAGUGAGCCCACGGAUCUUACUUUAUUUCUCCAUGCUUUCCCCUUGUCUGGGAGAUUCCCUUCGCUGCGGCGAGUUUCACCAUGUUUCGAAGAUUUCCAUCGCUGCUUUACCACACAGGAUGAUGUUUACGAGAACGAUUAUUCAUAGUUUCCUAUGUUACAACAAAUAGAACGCAAUAGAUAAAAGAACAAAAUAGCUAAUUGUAAUGGCGUCCAGCCAGUGCCCAGUAGUAUUCUAAUUUAACUACUUCAGGGUGUACUUGGCAAGCUGUACAGUGUCCAUUCUCACAAAUAAUACUUACCAUUCU